rnacentral:ribozyme from 1 species
GGGUCGGCGCAAGUCGCAGCACCGGCGGCGGCAAUGAGGCGAGGUAGGGCGGACCGAAGAGAUGCUGUUGUUCCUGGCGUCCGGCGGCCUGCAGGCCCAGGCCCAGCAGCAGCAGCAGGCGCCCGCCGAGGAGGCGCCGGCGCCGCGCCGCAGCAGCCGCCGCCGCUUCAGCAUCGGCGCCUCCCAGGGUUCUGCCCUCUCCCCGCGCCGCUGAGCAGCUUCGCCUUUGUACCAUAGAUAUGACAUUCCUUUUCAUUUUA